ACUCAGUGGCCGAGUGGAUAACGAGAUGGCGUUCAAAGCGAAAGGUAUUGGGUUCGAGUCCCAAAGGGAACA
rnacentral:tRNA from 1 species